ACAUGCCUACAUCAUAGUGUUAAUGCACUGGAUCCCAUUAGAAUUUUGUAGUAAAGUGCGCUCAGGCUAGAGUAGUACUAGGAUGGGUGACCACCUGGGAAGUCCUAGUGUUUUACAUGCC
rnacentral:rRNA from 1 species